rnacentral:lncRNA from 1 species
GCCAGUUUACAAAUUAUAGUGUGCUUACACAGUUUACGACUUUGUACUUUAAUAUUUUCUUUUCCUUUACUCUUAUCCCAUUAAUUACAGCUGUCCCUUAGCCUGUCUUGUUUUCCAAAAAGGUUCGCUCUCUGAUUCUGACUGACACAAAAUAUAUGUUACUAAAAUAUCAUUUAAAGUUAUAAUCUAGACGUUAAUUACAAAUUUAAACUAUUAAUAAUUGUAAAAGUUGGACAUAAUCAUUUUUAUUAGUCGAAUUUUGUAACACAAAUG